AAGUCGUAACAAGGUCUCCGUUGGUGAACCAGCGGAGGGAUCAUUACCGAGUUUACAACUCCCAAACCCAAUGUGAACGUUACCAAACUGUUGCCUCGGCGGGAUCUCUGCCCCGGGUGCGUCGCAGCCCCGGACCAAGGCGCCCGCCGGAGGACCAACCAAAAACUCUUUUGUAUACCCCCUCGCGGGUUUUUAUAUCUGAGCCAUCUCGGCGCCUCUCGUAGGCGUUUCGAAAAUGAAUCAAAACUUUCAACAACGGAUCUCUUGGUUCUG
rnacentral:misc_RNA from 1 species